ensembl:snoRNA SNORA72 Small nucleolar RNA SNORA72
AUGAAAGAGCCUGAACCGUGCUUUGUACUUCAGACCUCCAAAACGGUAAACUAAGGGCGGGCUAGACAUUUGCUAUAGUAAGAACAUGCAUGUAUCCCCAGACCUACUUCUUUACCUAGGUCUGGUUUUCUAAAUGCUGGUGACAAGC